AAGACCUUGCACUUUUGGAGCGGCCGAUGUCUGAUUAGCUAGUUGGUGGGGUAAUGGCCCACCAAAGCUUCGAUCAGUAGCUGGUCUGAGAGGACGGCCAGCCACACUGGGACUGAGGCACGGCCCAGACUCCUACGGGAGGCAGCAGUGGGGAAUUUUGGACAAUGGGCGCAAGCCUGAUCCAGCCAUGCCGCGUGAGUGAAGAAGGCCUUCGGGUUGUAAAGCUCUUUCAGCCGGGAAGAAAAGGUUGCGACUAAUAAUCGCAAUUCAUGACGGUACCGAAAGAAGAAGCACCGGCUAACUACGUGCCAGCAGCCGCGGUAAUACGUAGGGUGCGAGCGUUAAUCGGAAUUACUGGGCGUAAAGGGUGCGCAGGCGGUUUUGUAAGUCAGAUGUGAAAUCCCCGGGCUUAACCUGGGAACU
rnacentral:rRNA from 1 species